rnacentral:rRNA from 1 species
AACGUAGGGGGCGAGCGUUGCCCGGAUUCACUGGGCGUAAAGCGCGCGUAGGCGGUCUUUUAAGUCGGAUGUGAAAUCCCACGGCUCAACCGUGGAAUUGCAUCCGAUACUGGAAGACUUGAGGACGGUAGAGGUCGGUGGAAUUCCCGGUGUACCGGUGAAAUGGACAGAUAUCGGGAGGAACACCAGUGGCGAAGGCGGCCGGCUGGGCCGUUCCUGACGCUGAGGCGCGAAAGCCAGGGUAGCGAACCGGAUUAGAUACCCCCGUAGUCC